AUACUUACCUGGCAGGGGAGAUACCAUGAUCAUGAAGGUGGUUUUCCCAGGGCAAGGCUUAUCCAUUGCACUCCAGAUGUGCUGAUCCCUGCGAUUUCCCCAAAUGUGGGAAACCUGACUUCAUAAUUUGUGGUAGUGGGGGACUGCAUUCACGCUUUCCCCUG
rnacentral:snRNA from 1 species